rfam:Bacteroidetes bacterium RBG_19FT_COMBO_42_7 rbg_19ft_combo_scaffold_3836, whole genome shotgun sequence.
GGGGGUUUAGCUCAGUUGGCUAGAGCGUGUGACUGGCAGUCACAAGGUCAGGGGUUCGAUUCCCCUAAUCUCCA